AUAAGCUUUAUUGGAACCAACUUUCUGCAAGGGGAGCGGGCACAGACGACCAGCUGGCGCUGGCCUUCGAGGCUGGAGCUGAGCAGCACAGCCUCUUAUUGGGAUGUGCGAGGCAUAGGAGGCGCAUGUCAUAUGGUGCUGCAGCAUCAACUUUUGCCAGCAGUUGACCUUCUGCAAGUGUCGACAGAAUGUCUCUUCUGUUUUAUCUAUAUUGCAAUAAAUAGCUUUUAAACAAGA